rnacentral:rRNA from 1 species
AUGAACGCUGGCGGCGUGCUUAACACAUGCAAGUCGAACGGAAAGGCCCAAGCUUGCUUGGGUACUCGAGUGGCGAACGGGUGAGUAACACGUGGGUGAUCUGCCCUGCACUUCGGGAUAAGCCUGGGAAACUGGGUCUAAUACCGGAUAGGACCACUUCUUGGAUGUUGUGGUGGAAAGUUUUUUCGGUGUGGGAUGAGCUCGCGGCCUAUCAGCUUGUUGGUGGGGUAAUGGCCUACCAAGGCGUCGACGGGUAGCCGGCCUGUGAGGGUGUACGGCCGCAUUGGGUCUGAGAUACGGCCCAGACUCCUACGGGUGGCAGCAGUGGGGAAUAUUGCACAAUGGGCGCAAGCCUGAUGCAGCGACGCCGCGUGGGGGAUGACGGCCUUCGGGUUGUAAACUCCUUUCGCUAGGGACGAAGCGUUUUGUGACGGUACCUGGAGAAGAAGCACCGGCUAACUACGUG